rnacentral:rRNA from 1 species
UACGAAGGGGGCGAGCGUUGUUCGGAUUUACUGGGCGUAAAGGGCGCGUAGGCGGCCUUGUCAGUCAGGCGUGAAAGCCCCGGGCUCAACCUGGGAACGGCGCUUGGGACGGCGAGGCUGGAGUUCGGGAGAGGGGGGUGGAAUUCCACGUGUAGCAGUGAAAUGCGUAGAGAUGUGGAGGGACACCGAUGGCGAAGGCGGCAUCCUGGACCGGUAUUGACGCUGAGGCGCGAAAGCCAGGGGAGCAAACGGG